AAGAAAUUAUGAAAUUUUAUAUUCCCAAACGGGGAUUCAUUUCUUCCGGUUUUUCUCCUUAUUCUACUGAGCUGAGGCAGUAUCAAAUCGAGCUGUCACAACUGAUACCACCUUGUAUUAUUGCAUCAUGCAUAUGUACAUCAUUGAUUU